rnacentral:rRNA from 1 species
AUUGAACGCUGGCGGCAGGCUUAACACAUGCAAGUCGAACGAGUGGCGGACGGGUGAGUUAUGUCUGGGAAACUGCCUGAUGGUGGGGGAUAACUAUUGGAAACGGUAGCUAAUACCGCAUACCAUCGGAUGUGCCUAGAUGGGAUUAGCUAGUAGGUGGGGUAAAGGCUCACCUAGGCGACGAUCCCUAGCUGGUCCGAGAGGAUGACCAGCCACACUGGAAAUGAGACACGGUCCAGACUCCUACGGGAGGCAGCAGUGGGGAAUAUUGCACAAUGGACGCAAGCCUAAUGCAGCCAUGCCGCGUGUAUGAAGAAGGCCUUCGGGUUGUAAAGUACUUUCAGCGGGGAGGCGUUACCCGCAGAAGAAGCACCGGCUAACUCCGUGCCAGCAGCCGCGGUAAUUC